CAAUAGGGUAGCGUAAUUCAACAAUUUUAAUAUUGAGGCGCAAGAACAUAUAUUUUUUAAAUUUUUUAUUAGAAAAAUGAUAAGUGUAUUAAUAAAAAGAUUAAAUUAAAUGAAAUCUAAAAAAGAAAAACUACUAGUAUUUUAGAAUAAAAUUAUUUUUUUUAAAUGAAUUUUGAAGUAUUUAUUCUAAUACUGGGAAUCUUGGUUAAG
rnacentral:misc_RNA from 1 species